rnacentral:tRNA from 1 species
GGCCCCGUGGCGCAACUGAAUAGCGCAUCAGAUUUCGGCUCUGAGGGUUGGGGGUUUGAAUCCCUUCGCGGUCACGA